rnacentral:rRNA from 1 species
CAGGCUUAACACAUGCAAGUCGAGGGGCAGCAUGGUCUUAGCUUGCUAAGGCCGAUGGCGACCGGCGCACGGGUGAGUAACACGUAUCCAACCUGCCGUCUACUCUUGGACAGCCUUCUGAAAGGAAGAUUAAUACAAGAUGGCAUCAUGAGUCCGCAUGUUCACAUGAUUAAAGGUAUUCCGGUAGACGAUGGGGAUGCGUUCCAUUAGAUAGUAGGCGGGGUAACGGCCCACCUAGUCUUCGAUGGAUAGGGGUUCUGAGAGGAAGGUCCCCCACAUUGGAACUGAGACACGGUCCAAACUCCUACGGGAGGCAGCAGUGAGGAAUAUUGGUCAAUGGGCGAGAGCCUGAACCAGCCAAGUAGCGUGAAGGAUGACUGCCCUAUGGGUUGUAAACUUCUUUUAUAAAGGAAUAAAGUCGGGUAUGGAUACCCGUUUGCAUGUACUUUAUGAAUAAGGAUCGGCUAACUCCGUGCCAGCAGCCGCGGUAAUACGGAGGAUCCGAGCGUUAUCCGGAUUUAUUGGGUUUAAAGGGAGCGUAGAUGGAUGUUUAAGUCAGUUGUGAAAGUUUGCGGCUCAACCGUAAAAUUGCAGUUGAUACUGGAUAUCUUGAGUGCAGUUGAGGCAGGCGGAAUUCGUGGUGUAGCGGUGAAAUGCUUAGAUAUCACGAAGAACUCCGAUUGCGAAGGCAGCCUGCUAAGCUGCAACUGACAUUGAGGCUCGAAAGUGUGGGUAUCAAACAGGAUUAGAUACCCUGGUAGUCCACACGGUAAACGAUGAAUACUCGCUGUUUGCGAUAUACAGCAAGCGGCCAAGCGAAAGCGUUAAGUAUUCCACCUGGGGAGUACGCCGGCAACGGUGAAACUCAAAGGAAUUGACGGGGGCCCGCACAAGCGGAGGAACAUGUGGUUUAAUUCGAUGAUACGCGAGGAACCUUACCCGGGCUUAAAUUGCAGAUGAAUUACGGUGAAAGCCGUAAGCCGCAAGGCAUCUGUGAAGGUGCUGCAUGGUUGUCGUCAGCUCGUGCCGUGAGGUGUCGGCUUAAGUGCCAUAACGAGCGCAACCCUUGUUGUCAGUUACUAACAGGUUCCGCUGAGGACUCUGACAAGACUGCCAUCGUAAGAUGUGAGGAAGGUGGGGAUGACGUCAAAUCAGCGCGGCCCUUACGUCCGGGGCUACACACGUGUUACAAUGGGGGGUACAGAGGGCCGCUACCACGCGAGUGGGUGCCAAUCCCCAAAACCUCUCUCAGUUCGGACUGGAGUCUGCAACCCGACUCCACGAAGCUGGAUUCGCUAGUAAUCGCGCAUCAGCCACGGCGCGGUGAAUACGUUCCCGGGCCUUGUACACACCGCCCGUCAAGCCAUGGGAGCCGGGGGUACCUGAAGUGCGUAACCGCGAGGAGCGCCCUAGGGUAAAACUGGUGACUGGGGCUAAGUCAUAAC